rnacentral:rRNA from 1 species
UUGUUGCGGUUAAAAGCUCGUAGUUGGAUUUCUGUUGAGGACUGCCGGUCCAUGUUUUGCAUGAGAAWCGGUUUGGCCUCGGCAUCCUCUUGGGAAACGUUGCAGUGCUUUAUUGCGUUGUGCGGUUUUCAAGACUUUUACUUUGAGGAAAUUAGAGUGUUCACGGCAGGCUUCCGCCCUGAAUACAUUAGCAUGGAAUAAUACUAUAGGAUCUCGGUUCUAUUUUGUUGGUUUCUAGAGCUGAGGUAAUGAUUAAUAGGGAUAAUUGGGGGCAUUCGUAUUGACACGUCAGAGGUGAAAUUCUUGGAUUGUGUCACGACGAACUACUGCGAAAGCAUUUGCCAAGGAUGUUUUCAUUGAUCAAGAACGAAAGUAAGGGGAUCGAAGAUGAUUAGAUACCGUCGUAGUCUUUACCAUAAACUAUGCCAACUAGAGAUUGGAGGUCGUUCCUUUUACGACUCCUUCAGCACCUUAUGAGAAAUCAAAGUCUUUGGGUUCCGGGGGGAGUAUGGUCGCA